UCGUCGCCGGUCCUCCCCGCGUUCUUCAGCGCGGCUUCGUCGACCUGCCGGAUCUGCGGGCCCGCAGAGAGCCACGCCGACAAGGCGAGUCCCACCAGCGCCGCCAACGACACCGUCGCCCUUCGCAGAUGCAUAUCUGUGAUCUCGAUGACACAGUCCGCUACUCGUACGUGGCGUCCGACUUUAGUCGGACUACAGGCUGCGAGAAUCCGGCUGAAGCCGGAUUCCACGUACGAAGCCGCGAAAUCCGCGUCCUCCGCGACAUCCGCGGAUAGUUCCGCAACUUACUCGGCCGGUUCGAUUCUGAGCACUGCACCCGGGUCUCGUCCGUCAGCAGGUAGAGCAGCCCGUCGGGGCCCUGGCGGACAUCCCGGAUCCUCUGCCGGAGCUCCAGCAGCAUCAACUCGCGGCGGCGCUCUUCGAACUUCUCGUUGAACACCAGCCGCUGGAGGUGGCCGGUGUUCGCGAUCUCGCCCAUCCGCAUCGCGCCGACGAAGGCGUUGCCCUUCCACGCCGGAAAGCGAUCGCCGGUGUAGAACGCCAGGCCCGACACGGCGAUGGACGGCAUCCAGUACGCGACCGGCGGCUCGAUCCCCUCCUGCG
rnacentral:misc_RNA from 1 species